rnacentral:rRNA from 1 species
AUGUGGCAUGGAGAGAGAAGCACAAGCACAAGUAACAUCACAGUUCCAAAAUUUGGUCUCUGCUGCAAGGAAGGGAAAGUUAAAUUACCACCACUGAAGCAAGCUCCGCUGUAUCUCCGACAGCUACUACGUUACAAUGAAAGAGGAGAAUCAUCAAAUUUCCGCCAGAACAUCAGGUUGUACAACUCGAUGUUCGCAUUCAGUUCAAUGGGAGGAAAGGUUGAUUAUGAAAUUAAUAAGCAGGCAUCUGGACCGUAUGUUUUCCGUUUGAAUGGCCAGAAUUACCAUCAGAUUGGCACUUUACUUCCUAAGGAUGACGUGACGAAACCAAAAUUUCCCCAAUUGUACAUACAUGACACAGAAAAUGAAGUGCGGAAUAGGAUUAAUGCAUCUGCUUCAACGGAGAGUAAGACACAGCCAGAUGAAAACAUUGUCAAAGGACUACUGGAAAUGCUUGAUGAGCACAAUGUUUUAGUCAAAUCAUUUCGUAUGGCAAGGGACAGAUUCCAAAACCGACGUAUUAAAGAUGUAAGACUAAGAUUGAUCAACAAAAGGUCGAAAGAUGGACGGCAGUACAACCUACCAUCUGCCUCAGAAGUGGCACUAAUUAUUGGGGAACAAGAUGGAGAAAACAAUGAAUUUGAUAUAAUAUUUGAGACCAAAGACAGAAUGUUACAGAGGAUUUCAGAGUUGCACCCAAGCUAUAUGUCAAUGCAGUACCCCUUGUUUUUUCCAUAUGGAGAAGAUGGUUUCAGACCAGAAAUAGAGUAUGAAAGAACCGAACAAGUUGGACAAAGACUCGUACUACCCUCAUCAUGUAAUGACAGUCCAAGAAAUAAGCAGCAAAACUACCAAGAUGCCAUGGCGAUAUGUCGUUGGGCUGGCUAUCCUGAUCUCUUCAUUACUUUUACAUGCAAUCCAAAAUGGCUGGAAAUACAAGAUAUGUUGGAUCUGAUUCCAGGCCAAAAACCUGAAGAUCGUCCAGAUAUCGUUGCCAGAGUAUUCAUGUUAAAACUGAAGGAACUUAUGAAUGACAUAAAGAACGGAAAGUGUUUUGGACAAACAAUUGCAAUUGUCUACACUAUAGAGUUCCAGAAAAGAGGCCUCCCGCAUGCACACAUACUGGUGUUUCUACACCCAGAUGAUAAAGAUCCAAGUCCUUCCCAGAUCGACAAAAUCAUAUCAGCCGAAAUUCCUGAUAAGAAUAGUGAUCCAGAAGGGUACGAAGCAGUGCAAAAUUACAUGAUACAUGGUCCAUGUGGUCAAGCACACCCAAAAUCACCAUGCAUGGUCGAUCAAAGUUGUGCCAAACAUUUCCCCAAGAAUUUUUGCACUGAGACUACCAUAGAUGAAGAUAACUAUCCAGUAUAUAGAAGGCGAGAUGAUGGCAACACUGUGGACAAGAAUGGAGUGAAGCUAGACAAUAGAUUUGUUGUGCCAUACAAUAGAAACCUACUGGUCAAGUAUCAAGCCCACAUAAAUGUUGAGUGGUGCAACAGAUCAAGGUCUAUAAAGUAUUUAUUCAAAUACAUCCACAAAGGAGAAGAUCGAACAACCGUCUUGAUAGAAGCGGAAGACCAACAAAACAGGGACGACGAAAUCAAGAGGUACCUUGAUGCCCGGUACAUAUCUGGAUGUGAAGCCGUAUGGCGCAUAUUUCAGUUUCCUCUUCAGUACAGAGAGCCUGCGGUUGAAAGGUUACAAUUUCACCUAGAAAAUGAACAUGUUGUGGUGUUCCCGGACUCAAUGGAUUUAGAUCAAAUUGUAUCCCGGCCUAACAUAGAAAAGACAAUGUUCACAGAAUGGGUGACAGCCAGCCAGUUGCAUGAAGAAGCUCGCAGUUUGACGUAUGCACAGUUUCCAACCAAAUGGACUUGGCAUGCACAAGAGAAAGAAUGCAGGAAAAGGCGUGGUGGAAAAAAAAUAGGCAGGAUUUACUAUGCACAACCAACGAGCGGUGAAAAAUACUACUUGAGAAUGCUGUUAAAUGCCGUCAAAGGAUGCAGAUCAUAUGAAGAAAUUCGAACAGUUGAUGGGGUUGUACAUCCAACAUUCAAAUCCGCAUGUUAUUCUCUUGGGCUACUUAAUGAUGACAAAGAGUGGGAUGACUGCAUCAAGGAAGUAUCCCAUUGGGCCUCUGCUCCUCAAAUGCGCCAACUUUUCUGCACAAUACUUUUAUUUUGUGAGGUGACGGAUCCCGCAAAGUUGUGGCAAACAAAUUGGGAGUUACUAUAUGAGGAUAUCCAACGUCGGCAAAGAAGAGCCCUGGAACUCAACUCGGCAAAAAUAAAGAGCCUGCUCCUGGCAGAGAUAGAACAACUAUUGACUAAAGGUGGUAAGUCCCUCAAAGAUUUUCCAGGAAUGCCACUACCAGAUAGUUCAGUUCUUCAAGAUCUAAAUAAUAGAUUAGUAAAUGAGGAACUAAACUAUGAUAAAGAUUCUUUAAGAAUAGAACACAUGAAGUUACUGCAUAAGCUAAAUCAGGAUCAGAGGAUGGCUUUUGACGUUAUAAUAGAAUCAGUCAAUGACAGUCUUGGAAAAUUGAUUUUUGUUGACGGAUAUGGCGGAACUGGAAAGACGUUUCUGUGGAAAGCAGUCAUGACAAAAUUAAGAUCUGAAGGAAAAAUAGUUCUAGCAGUUGCUUCAAGUGGUAUAGCAGCACUUCUUUUACAGGGUGGAAGAACAGCUCAUUCAAGAUUUCACAUUCCCCUCAAGAUCACUAACGAGUCCACAUGCAACAUUAAGCAAGGAACAUUUCUUGCAGAGCUAAUAAAGAAAAUGUCACUGAUAAUAUGGGAUGAAGCACCUAAGACACACAAGCACUGUUUUGAGGCACUAGAUAAGAGUUUGAGAGACAUACUUCGAUUCACAUAUGAGGACGCAGAGCAUAGACCAUUUGGAGGAAUGACAGUAGUCUUGGGAGGUGACUUCAGGCAAAUCCUACCAGUUAUACCACAGGGGAAAAGGGAACAUAUCAUUUCUGCAUCAAUAAAGAGAUCCUACCUAUGGAAGAACUUUGAGGAGUACCGACUCAAAGAAAAUAUGCGUCUGAAUUCAUCCGAAGGUAGUCCAGAAGAGAAAGCAAAAACAGCUGAAUUCGCAAACUUUAUACUAAACAUAGGCGAUGGCACAACGUCAACAAUAGAUGAAGAGGAUUGGGUUAGCAUCCCAGAGGACCUUAUUUUACAUGAAGGGGAUGACGCGAAAGCAUCUAUUGUUAACACCACCUAUCCUGACUUACACAGAAAAUACACUGAUAGAACAUACCUUGGGGAAAGAGCGAUCUUGUGCCCAAGAAACGAGACUGUUGACCAGAUUAAUGCCUGCAUCAUGAGUCAAAUCCCUGGAGAAGAGGUAACCUAUUUCAGUUCAGAUACAACAUGCAAGGCAAUGUCUACGGUGGAAGAUGAAGAUAUGUUGUACCCAACUGAGUUUCUGAAUAGUCUUACAUUUUCUGGAAUACCAGACCAUGAACUGAGGCUGAAAGUAGGAUUACCAAUAAUGCUUAUGAGGAACAUCAAUCAAAGUGCAGGACUUUGCAAUGGGACAAGACUAACAAUAACACAGCUAGGAAAGCGUUUCAUUGAAGGCCAGGUCAUAACAGGUCCUAACGUUGGUGACAAAGUUUACAUCCCACGAAUUAUCCUGUCACCAAGUGAUUCAAAAUGGCCUUUCAUUCUGAAAAGGAGACAAUACCCAAUAUCAGUGUGCUUUGCUAUGACUACAAACAAAAGCCAGGGGCAAUCUCUCAAAAAAGUUGGACUCUACUUAGAAAGGUAAGUGUUCACACAUGGACAACUCUAUGUUGCAAUGUCAAGGGUGACCAGCAGAAAUGGAUUGAAGAUAGUCAUCUCAGAUGAAGAGCGUCCAUCCGACAAGGUUGCAAAAAACAUUGUUUACAAGGAUAUAUUAUAG